UACGGAGGAUCCAAGCGUUAUCCGGAAUUACUGGGCGUAAAGAGUUGCGUAGGUGGCAUAGUAAGCAGGUAGUGAAAUUGCGGGGCUCAACCCCGUACCCAUUACUUGAACUGCUAAGCUAGAGGACGAGAGAGGUAGUUGGAAUUCCUAGUGUAGGGGUAAAAUCCGUUGAUAUUAGGAGGAACACCAAUGGCGUAGGCAGACUACUGGCUCGUUUCUGACACUCAGGCACGAAAGCGUGGGGAGCAAACAGG
rnacentral:rRNA from 1 species